rnacentral:rRNA from 1 species
CACGUAGGGGGCAAGCGUUGUCCGGAAUUAUUGGGCGUAAAGAGCUCGUAGGCGGCUCGGUAAGUCAGGUGUCAAAUCCUCAGGCUCAACCUGGGGCUCCACCUGAUACUGCUGUGGCUAGAGUCCGGUAGGGGAGCGUGGAAUUCCUGGUGUAGCGGUGAAAUGCGCAGAUAUCAGGAAGAACACCGGUGGCGAAAGCGCUCUGCUAGGCCGCAACUGACACUCAUGGACGAAAGCUAGGGGAGCGAAUGGG